rnacentral:rRNA from 1 species
GAUGAACGCUGGCGGCGUGCCUAAUACAUGCAAGUCGAGCGAACGGACGAGAAGCUUGCUUUUCUGAUGUUAGCGGCGGACGGGUGAGUAACACGUGGAUAACCUACCUAUAAGACUGGGAUAACUUCGGGAAACCGGAGCUAAUACCGGAUAAUAUUUUGAACCGCAUGGUUCAAAAGUGAAAGACGGUCUUGCUGUCACUUAUAGAUGGAUCCGCGCUGCAUUAGCUAGUUGGUAAGGUAACGGCUUACCAAGGCAACGAUGCAUAGCCGACCUGAGAGGGGGAUCGGCCACACUGGAACUGAUACACGGUCCAGACUCCUACGGGAGGCAGCAGUAGGGAAUCUUCCGCAAUGGGCGCAAGCCUGACGGAGCAACGCCGCGUGAGUGAUGAAGGUCUUCGGAUCGUAAAACUCUGUUAUUAGGGAAGAACAUAUGUGUAAGUAACUGUGCACAUCUUGACGGUACCUAAUCAGAAAGCCACGGCUAACUACGUG